CCUACGGGAGGCAGCAGUAGGGAAUAUUGGUCAAUGGGCGAGAGCCUGAACCAGCCAUGCCGCGUGCAGGAAGAAGGCCCUCUGGGUUGUAAACUGCUUUUGACAGGGGCCAAAAUACUCAUGCGUGAGGAAUUGAGAGUAUAGAAUAAGCACCGGCUAACUCCGUGCCAGCAGCCGCGGUAAUACGGAGGGUGCAAGCGUUGUCCGGAUUUAUUGGGUUUAAAGGGUGCGUAGGUGGCCUUAUAAGUCAGUGGUGAAAGCCUGCAGCUUAACUGUAGGACUGCCAUUGAUACUGUAGGGCUUGAGUACUGAUGAGGUAGGCGGAAUUGAUAGUGUAGCGGUGAAAUGCAUAGAUAUUAUCAAGAACACCGAUUGCGAAGGCAGCUUACUAAGGAGUUACUGACACUGAGGCACGAAAGCGUGGGGAUCAAACAGGAUUAGAUACCCUGGUAGUCCACGACCACUAACGAUAGUAUUACUACGUAUAGUAUAGCGAUAGAUAGUAUGCGUCCGAACGACGAAGACGUUAAGUUAAGUACCGACCGUACGGGUAGGUACGACCGACCGAAGGUUAGUAAACGUUAAAGUUAAGUAAGUUAGUACGGACGUAGAGACGUUAGACCGACGGACGACGACGAGGGGAGGAGGGNG
rnacentral:rRNA from 1 species